rnacentral:rRNA from 1 species
GAUCAUGGCUCAGGACGAACGCUGGCGGCGUGCCUAACACAUUCAAGUCGAACGGAACUGUUUUGAAAGAUUUCUUCGGAAUGAAUUUGAUUUAGUUUAGUGGCGGACGGGUGAGUAACGCGUGAGUAACCUGCCUUCAAGAGGGGGGAUAACAUUCUGAAAAGAAUGCUAAUACCGCAUGACAUAUCGGAACCACAUGGUUCUGAUAUCAAAGAUUUUAUCGCUUGAAGAUGGACUCGCGUCCG